AUACCAUUAUGUGGGCACUUUCGAAGCAUCUCUUUGUAGCGUUCCCGAUCUUCACAAAGAGUUUCACCAGACUGCUGAGAGAAUUGAGUUAGCAUUCCUGAUUGC
rfam:Daucus carota subsp. sativus cultivar DH1 chromosome 2, whole genome shotgun sequence.